UUUCCGUAGGUGAACCUGCGGAAGGAUCAUUCAUAAUAAGUGUUUUAUGGCACUUUUUUAAAUCCAUAUCCACCUUGUGUGCAAUGUCAGGGUUGAUUUUUCUCUCGAGAGGAUCAGCCCCAAACAUCAACUAUAUCUCAACUCUUUGUCUGAAAAAUAUUAUGAAUAAAAUAAUUCAAAUACAACUUUCAACAACGGAUCUCUUGGCUCUC
rnacentral:misc_RNA from 1 species